CAAUUCUAGAGUGAAACAAAUGACUGUUAAAUUGGAUCGUCCAUGCGCGACACGCACUGCAUUUAUAAAGUUAAAGAAAGACAAAACAGAACUUGCAUGUGUGUAUCGCGCACGGACGAUUUGAAUUAACCAAGUCAUGACAUAAAUAAAUACUAUUAUGAUUCUUCUUUAAUUAUUAUUUUAUCAAUUACCAAAAUGAUUGAAGGUUUUCAUCCAUGUUCAAAGGCACCGCCCCUCCAGAAAAAAACACCUCAAGGUAACUCAUUCAUUAGAUGUGGUGAGCGGCUGCGAGGACUUGUGCUAGAUCUACUUGUCUUUGCCUGGGCUGGAUCUCAACUGUUGGGCAUUUUAUAAUUCAUACAAGGAAUGCUCUCUGCCAAACUCAGUUUGAAUCCUGUUUUCCUUGAUUCCUGGUUGUUAUGAGUUUCAUGCCUUUCGGCGGUAGUUUAGUUUGUGAUCAGAGCAUAUCCGAUUGGGAACUUCUCUGAUGGAAUGUUGAAGAUACUUGCAAAUGAACAAACAGGCUUCGAUUGAUUGCAAAAUGAAAAUGGUCUAGCUAGAAUGAUUUGCGUUUGUUUUAGUUUAUUUGCUAGUAAUUUUGGGUAUACAUAUAUAGAUAUUGUGGCUUUGGCUUCCUUCAGUGCCCUGAUUGUCCCUUACGUUCCUGUAAGGUGGUCUCUCAGGGCUAGCUUCACUAGAACAUUAGGGAAGGAUUUGCCUUGAGUCAAUAGCCCAAUGCAAUUCAUCACUCCCAACUUUGCUACUGUUCGAAAGCAGAAAUCAAUCCCCUGUAAACCCAUUAGAUUUGCCUACUUUUUAGUUAUGUAUAUAAUUCAGCUUAUAUCUCCAAA